UAGGGAAUCUUCGGCAAUGGACGAAAGUCUGACCGAGCAACGCCGCGUGAGUGAAGAAGGUUUUCGGAUCGUAAAACUCUGUUGGUAGAGAAGAACGUUGGUGNGAGUGGAAAGCUCAUCAAGUGACGGUAACUACCCAGAAAGGGACGGCUAACUACGUGCCAG
rnacentral:rRNA from 1 species